rnacentral:rRNA from 1 species
GGAACUCGGCAAACUGAUCUCGUACGUUCGACAAUAAGAGAUGCCUUUGUACUAUUUAGUAUGAGGGUGGCACAGAAUCAGGGAGUGCGACUGUUUACUCAAAACACAGCAGCCUGCUAACACUACCGUGGUCGUAUAGGUUGUGAUUCCUGUCCGGUGUCUCGCGAUAAAGUUAUGGUGUGUAUGGCUUACCAUGUACAUUGAACUAGAAGUCGAGAUAAACGACGGUCUUAACUAUAAGGAUCCUAAGGUAGCAAAAU